CAUUUAUUGACAAGUAAUGCAAAUGAGUGAGUGAAUAAAUUACGUCACUCUUUUAAUAAAUGAGCGACGCAUAUGAAAAAUCUACAACAUUAUACUUUUUGUUAUUUGCGUCGCAUUUUAAUAAUUAAGUGACACAAAUAACUCUUUUGCAUUUAGGUUAUUUCAGAAAUUUUGUCCUUAGCUUUUCACGCCUACCUUUCACUAAACAAAAAGAAAAAAAACAAGAGUUGCUACUCCAGUGAAUUUCUACAGCCAAAACACCCAUAAAUUCGACCCUUAAAUCCAACAAAUUCUGCCAAAAAACUUCGAUUCCCCAGCAAAUUCAACAUCCAAAAUCACAAUCAAGUUCAAGACCCAUAAUCGGCAGCAAAUCCGAGCAAUUUUGAGCAAAAUUAAAACCAAAAACCCUAAGAAAUUCGAACCCAUAAACCCCAGAAAAAUUGAGCAUUUUCGACCAAAAAUCCCCCAUUUUGAGCAAAAAAAUCUACUCAAAACCAUAGGAAUUCAAACCCUACAAACCCCAAAAAAUCCAAUUAAAAAUCCUGGCAUCAUAUUCGUGCAAUGACUGAAAUUUUUGACUGGAAAAAUUGAUUAAUUACGCCCCCAAAAAACCCGAGGAAGUUCUAGCAAAUUACAGAAACAAUAUAUGGCAGAUUAGUGUAGCAGUUCGACCAGUGUUCGCCCCCCUCAUAUUACUGCAUUUAGGCUCGACAUUGUUGAAUUUGUGAAGUCGAUUUCACCUAAGAUUCUUAAUUAUGCGAAAGUGAAUUCCACAAGUUGCUCGAGGUUCUGGUUGUGGACAAACAAUUAAGGUAUGAGUUGUCAAAUAUUUCAUUUUUGUUUGAUAAAUACAAUUUGAUGUUAGCUACAAUCUUGAAUUAAAACUUUCCCCUUGUAUAUUUGUUGUGUUGAUAGGAUUUUUCAAGAACUACACCGUAUACCGAGGAGGAGAUAAAUGAGAUUCGAGAUAUUUGGCAGAGUAUUUUAUAUGUAAUGUCGAACUUUAGAUUUACACUUAGCGUAUGUUGGACUCUUGUUUUGGAUUAUAGGCUUGACAUGAAUGAUUUUGGUUAAUUGGUGUUGGGAUAAUGAGUAUAAUGUCUAUGAUAUUGUGAUGUAAAUUAUUGGACAGGUUGUUAAUAUAAUGUCGUCAUUCCCAAUUUUAUGGGUAGGCCAAAAUACAAAGGAGACUCUACCGAAA